UAUAAAUGUAAAUAUUAUAACCAGGGUAGUAAUAGUUAUGUUCUUGAAACCCAAAGAAUUUGGCGGUAUUUUAGUCCUUUCAGAGGAAUCUGUCCCAUAAUCGACAUUCCACGAGAUGAUCUACUUGUUUUUGUUUUCAGUUUGUAUACCUCCGUCACAAGAGAAUCUUUUCAGAGGUUAAAUUUUCUUUAUAUAAUAAAUAUAUUAUGUCAGGUCAAGGUGCAAUAUAUAAACAAGAGGAGAUGGAUUACAAUAAAAUUAUUUAAACGGAUUAAAUUAUUUAAUUUUUUAUGAAGGUGGAUUUGAUAGUAAUUUUGAUUAUUUAUUAUUAUGAUUUUGGCUCUAAAAUAUGC
rnacentral:rRNA from 1 species